UGAGGAACAUGACCUUCGGCGGGGGAUAGCCGGCCCAACGGCCGGGUGAUACCGCGUACGACCACAUGGGGACAUCCCUGAGUGGUGAAAGCAGCAAUGCGCCGAUGGAGUGCCUCGCGGCCUAUCAGCUAGUUGGUGAGGUAACGGCUCACCAAGGCAACGACGGGUAGCUGGU
rnacentral:rRNA from 1 species